GCCGGUGUAGCUCAGUUGGUAGAGCAGCGCAUUCGUAAUGCGAAGGUCGGAAGUUCAAGUCUUCUCUCCGGCACCA
rnacentral:tRNA from 1 species